ACGUUGCUGAACGAAGGGUUCGGCGUCGCUCUCGCCAACGCGCAGUUCGAUUCGUUGACUGGCAUCGGUUCGAUUCUGGCGUAUUGCAC
rnacentral:tRNA from 1 species